rnacentral:lncRNA from 1 species
CUCCUCCCUGCUUCCCAGAGCAGAAUCCAGAGCCACCUAUUCUCUCCAAGUUUGUCUCGCAGCCAGGCUGGGGACCGUCCGCGAGCGACUCCCGGACCGGGCAAUCAGUCUUCCCUGCCCCAGCGUCGGAGAUGAACAAUCACCACCAGCGGCUGCUGAGUGCUAGACGCUUUACUCCCACAGCUCCAAAAGCCACAGACGAGCAGACCCCCAGAAAUUAGUCCUCGCCACACAGAUGAGGCAGCUCUGGGAAGCUGGAUGAUGUGAUUGGACUCACAAGGCUAAUAACGCUAGGAGAGCAGCGGUUUCAAACCUACAGUACCAGAGGCUGACCUCAACGCAACGCCCGAGGCUGGGCGCAAACCAACCAGUUCGGAAUGCCAUAAUUCACAGAGACAUUCCCACGGAUCGGGACCAGAGAGUGCCCAAGAGCACCGGGUGUGACCGGUACUGGUGGAUGAUCACCCCUUAGCAGGAGCUGGAGAACACUUACCAUAAAAGAGAGGGCGAGCGCCUGCCUGGGAGGAAUCCCCAGCGCUGGCAGGUCCGGGACUCCCGGGAGAGAGGUCUGCUGCCACUGCCGCCCACGCAGGGGCGCCCGAGCGACCCCGCGGAUGCUGGCUGCUGCUUCUCAACCAGCGGCGCGUCCUCUCGACUUGUACCCGGCGGCAGCGCCCUCUCGCUCCGUAGGGUGCCCUGGAGUUAGGGACGUUCUUGGAGAAGUUGACGCUCAGGAGAGGUCGCC